GAGCGCCACGUUUUCCCCUAGCCCCGUCCGGAGCUCCGCCAGUGCCGCUGUUCACGUGGCCAUGCCUCCACAGACCACCUCUGGCCAAGUAGAGGGAACCAGAGGGUGUGCGUGAGUCCAGGUGAACUCCACCGCUGCUCCAAUGCUGCCGACGAGUACCCCAACGCCGAAACUGCGAGCUCCGACGAGCUUCCUCUGUUUUCAGUUCACGCCAGGGACCUCGCGUUUGAAUUAGACACAAGGCAGGGGUCUAAUUGCGAAGUUCGUGACUCAGGUGAAUAGUGCCAUCAGGACCUGUUUGUAGAUGAUUUGUUAGAAUCUUUGGAAAUUCAUAUCUGGAGUUUGGUAACUCCAAUUUUGGUGAACAAAAUUUUGUUGUGCUCCUUGAAAUGUCUAGUUUUUAUUAAAAAUAUGGAACUGACUAUGUUUUAUAGUAAAAUAAUUAGUUAUGAAUUAUGUCUUUUAAUUAUGCUUAAAAGGAAGAAAUUCAUAUCUAUUGCUGUAUAGCUUCUUUUAAGAUGAAACUUUUAUGGUAGACUAAUGAUUAUGUGUGUGUGCUGUGGUUAAGUUUUUAGAUUCAUUGGAUGACAUAUGAUUAAGUUAUUGAUUUAUCUUGUGUAGUGCUUAUUAAAUAGUUUACAAUUAAACUAAAAAUGAAUAAAUGUAAAAUAUGGUUCCUCUACCUUUAUAUGAGGUUGUUAUAUCAUAUAGAUACAUAAGUUAGCUAUGUGUGUGUAGAAAAUGUCGAGUUUCUUAUUUAUCUUGUUGUUACAUGCUUCCUUGUGAUGGAAAUUUAUCUUUUUCAUGAAAAUUGCUAUACUUAACCAAAUGGUAUGAAAUUUGUACAGUAGACUUUGGAGAGAAUAUAUGAGCUUCUGUAGUUUUCUCAGAUUUUACUGUGUACUUUUGAUAUAUGGUUAUUACUUUGUCUAUUUAUCUAAAUAAAUUAAUAAAGACAUGAAAGGUAUUUAUUUAGGGAUGACCAUGAUAUUUUCUAGUAUCUCUUUGAUGUAUUUCAACUGUUGGUGAGCUGGGUUUUGCCCAGGUUUAAGUUUGGAACAUAAAUGAAAUGUUUGUCUCUGUAAUUCAAUUGUUAGUGGUUUCUCGAUAGUUUUUGGAACAUUAUGAAUUGCUCUAGGUAGAUAAUGUUGGAUGUGAAACUUGUCUAUAACAAAGUUGUAUAUCAUUCAUGUAUCUACCUGGUGUUAAAUUCUGGUGGCAUUUGGCCCUAUAGUUUCUGAGUUAUGCCUGUUUAAAUUUAAGUUUCAGAAAUGGUUGUUCUCUGUCAAAUCUUGGAUCAGUUUCUGUAGUAGUGUAAUUUCAACUUGCUAAACUUAUGAAUCAUACUUUCAUAAUAAAAGAUGAAUUGUAGUAAUUUUCAUAAGCUUUCCAAAAUGUUAUGGAUCAUGAAUUUUGGUGAUCUAUAACUCUGGUUAUAGAUGUAUGAAGCUUAAUGUCUGGUUCUGUCCAAGGUCUGGACAGGAAUGUUUCUUCAUGCUAUUUGGCCAUCUUAUCUAUUAAAUCAGUUCUCGAAGAUAAUAACAAAGUUGUAGAAAAUUAUCUAAGCUUCCCAGAAAGUCUAAUAUCACCUUUAUUGGAUGCUUGGAUCUCUAAUUAUGGUUGAAUGAAGUUGCAUAUAUGCUGCUGUCCUGGUUAUGUGUGCAAAUAGAGUUGAUUGUUUUUAGCUAGCCUUUACUUAAAUAAUGAUUAGCUUAAUUUCCAAAUUAGAAUUUGAGUGCUUUUGGGAUUGUGUGAUGACCUGAGGUCAUUAAGGUUAAUGACCUUUGGCAUUUAAUUAUUGUUUGAUGUUAUACUUAAUUACUGCCAUUAAUAUUUAAUUAAGAAUUGAUUAAGAUAAAUAGAAAACCUAAUCAUUUUAGGUUUUGAUUGAUCUUUGGGAUUGAUUGACAACCAGUGGUUACUUGGCAUGAUAUGCUCCCUGGUUAUGGAUUAUUUCAUAAAUGAUCUUUGUUGUCUGAUAGCUACACAACCUUGUUUAAUAAAGAUGAUAAAAUUUGCUUAGUAGUAAUCUAUGUUUUGAUAGCUAAGUUAGUUUGUUUCUAUACCGUGAAGGUAAGUUGUACUCGAGGUAGUUAUGUUUGUUGUUAUCAUCCAAGAACAUGUAACCUGUCUUUAUCAUGUCAUGAGCAUCUCAUUGAUCAUGCAUAUGCACUUCUACGUGUAGACUACGCUCCAGAGGAAUCUGAUCCUCAGUGGGUUGCUUCUGAGUUUGUGGAUCCAUCUGGUUUUGCUGAGUUGUCGGACUUCCCUUCCGGCCAAGGCAAGCCCCGGACAUUAAACCCUAUCCUUGUAUUUUCAUAAAGUUAUUUAUAUCACUUGAGUUAAUAUGAUGCAUUAGGUGAAUAAGAGUUGAGUGAAUCCUACUUGCUGCAUUAUCUACCUUGAUGAUUUCAAUAUUAACCUUGAUACUUGUUUUAUGAAAAUACUUAGUAUGCUUAGCCCUGCUUAUUAGAUAAGUUUUCAAAUAAGAAAGUUUGAAGGGUUGUUGUGGAAUACUUUUAAGGUCAAUAAUGUUCAACUUGAGACCGGUCGGUGGACUUGCUUUAAGAAUGGAGUCUUAAAGUAGUGUCUCCAACUGUGUCGAUUAAGGACCGUACCGUUGUUGGCCUGUUGUGAUUGAGACCUUUGAGUACAGCCCACAUGCGGUGGUAAGCCUUACAUAUAGCUAUUCCGAUACUUGAGAACGGCUAACCGCGUACUGGGAGUGGAGAGAUGGCGAGAGUAGCGUGUACCCACCUUACGGAUCUGAGAUGACCGGGAAACAUCUAGAUUGGCUGUAGGAUGGUGGUGUACUGUACUCUCGGGUGACGCUGGACCCGUUCUUGUAUGGGAGGAUCUAUAGAAAAGGUUGACGUAUGCAAGAUUAAGUUCUACAUAUGUCGUGUGGUACUGAAUCCCCAGCUGGGUUUAAUCGAUUCGAAUCGCCGUGUUUCCUCGGAUAUGGAGCCUCAAUCCUCACACCAUCAUCGUAGUAAUAAAUGGAUCUUUGGUAAGAGAAAGAGGUGGUAUGUUUAUGAAAGUUUGAUAAUAGUUUUGGUUAGUCAUAAAUGAUGAUCUUGAGUUAAAACUUGAAAGUAGGUUUUACUCUUAGUAAGCUUUUAUGCAAAAGAAAUGCUUGAUCUUGAUAAAGCUUUACCUUGAAUCCCUAUAGCCUGCAUACCUGAGUCUUCACCUCUUUUCUAGUCGGUUAAGUCUUGUUGAGUACUUUUGUACUCAGGGUUUUAUAACCCCUGUUGCAGGUGCUGACUUAGACUGCUAAUGGAGGUCAUGUCGGUGGGCGCGACAUGAUUUAUCCACCUCUUCUACCUUAGAAGCUUCACCUAGGAUGCUUCCGCUACUAUACACACCUUUUGGAAAUUUAGUUAUUUAUAUUCCAUCAUAUGUUGUAAGUUGAGUUAUAAAUCUUCCGCACUCUGAUAUAAGUUAUUUUUGUAACAAAUGUUGUAAUGUUGUGGUAACUCCAUGUUGAUCCUGUAUGAGUUAAAAUGUGGAUGAUUCGGGGUCCUCCGAGGGCACCCGACAGACUUCUUGAGUCAUUUAGAACUCGUGCACGCCGAUCAGAAGUCUUUGAGACAAUGAUGGGUGCAUGUGGGCCAAUUAAUUCAGGAGGUUCUGCCACAGAGUGGUAUCGGAGCUCAUACAUGGAUCUUCUGCAACAUUACUUGUGAAAAACUUCAAAAGGAAUUUACAAAUUAAAAGUUUUUGAGGACAACAACUUGUAAAUGCUCCUUAACUUUUCUUAUGCUUGCUAUUCAAGUUCUGUGAAGACUGUCUGUUGACUCAAAUAGAAGGCAUUGAAAGGGACUUCAAUUCUUCUUCAACAAGCCAAGUGAAGAAUCAAACUACUCCAACAAUGCUUUGUCAAGAGUCUUGCAACAUUCCAUCCAGAGCGAUGAAGAUACUGUAUAAAUAAAGCCAUAUAAUCUACUAACAUGAUGAAGAUGGAGCACUUUUGCCGUUGAGAAAACGUAUAGGGCGAGCAUAUUGCAUACCAUGCAUAACAUGACAAUAUAAUGAUACUUAAAAACCCCUCCUUAUGCUUCAAAAACAGUUAUUAUUCAUUAUAGCUGUUUUAUUGAUGAAUCUCAUCAUGUACCAGCUUUCGUUAACCGAUUGAUAAUUUUUACUCCAUAAGAUCCUAAUACUUGAUUCUCUUGUUAUGCAUGUGACCUUCCUUGAUUUCAUCUAACUUGACACAUGCUACCUCCUUGCUGUCAUUUGAUGACAUAUGUGUUGAUUGAAUGACACUAUGAUUGUGUCCUCUUAAGGUACCAUGACUUGUAACUUGGGUAACAAUGUCGAAACCUGGGGUCUCCUAUGGCUCAUGACCAUGAGGAAAUACUGCUGGGCGCUCAUUGUUAUCAAAGUAUAUGAUCAUGAUCCCUUAUAGUCCACAAUUAGGGUGUUUCAUUCUUUGGACACUCCUUAGGGAUUCAAAUUUGUCCUUUUGAGUUCCCUAAACGCCUUGUGGUUGUGAUCGACUUUUGAUCUCAGUUACAUUCUUGGUAUUGUGAGACAUGGGUUAUUGUUGUGAUGCCCUAUAAUGGUGCCAUGUCCCGUGACCCCGGUGCCGCGUCGGAACCUAGAGUCUUUUGUGUGUCCGGAUGACACAAAUUUCUGCUGGGCGCGUGCAGGUAUCGAGGUUAUGGGCAUGAUCCAUUAUAGCCCCACAACUAAGGUGCCCUCGCUCUUUAAGCCCUAUCAUGGGAACUCAUGCCCAUAUUUUUGUGGGAAUUACCUAAAACCCUUGACUUGGAUAACCAACAUACGUUGAUUGAAAGCUAUUGUAACCGUACUCUAUAGUAGGUACCAUGAUCCGUGAUCACGUUAUAGCGUCGAAUCUUGUAGUCUCCUGUGGACUGCAGCCAUAAGGAAAUACUACAGGGUGCUCGUUAAACAUCGGGAUCUCUGGUCAUGCUCCACUAUAAUCUACAGUUAGUGUGCUUUCAUUCUCCUCGGAAGCUCAUUUGGAGAUUCAUAUCUUCUUAUGAAAUCUCUAAAAUUCCUGAUUGAUUACAACUUCUUGUUGAUCUUAGUUGUAAUUCUCGGACCAAUCGUAAUUGUUGUAUGAAUUUCUCAGAAGUUAAUGUGCUUGACACAUUUACUUUUCCAUUACUUAACCCCACGGGUUUUAGUACCCUGAAAAUCUCGGGGACGAGAUUUCUUUAAGGGGGAAGGGCUGUAACAUCCCUGAUGUUACGAACACUAAAACUGGAUCAUGUCAUCAUAAGCAUUGCAAAGCAUAUUUGUUAAGCACAUUAUUAUGCAUCAACUUAAAACAAGUUUAUUUUGAUUGCUUGUGCUUAGGGAAGUAGAGUGUACUUAUGUUGUGAAGUGAUGCUUGUGUUGGUUGUAUAACCCCUAGGGCGGAAGGUUUCCGAUAAAAUAGGGGGGAAAACCCUGAUUUUAAAACCCUGGAUUUGCCCCCUUUUUCACAAUUUAAAAACCAAACAAAAUUUGAGGUUGAGUUCAAAAGCAAAGUUGUAGAUCUUGUAAAGAUGUACAACUUUGGUGUUUUGAGUUUUUGAAGUUUCAAUACAAAAUUCAAAGUAAUUUUGAAAAUACAGAUUUCCAAAAAGUGUCCCCUUUUCCAAUUUGAAUCCCCAAUUCAAAAUCUAUUUGGAAUUUUGAAAAGUGACCAACAUGAAAGUUGUAGAGCUGAAAAAUUUGAACAACUUUCUUGUUGGAAAUUUUUCAAGUUGUUAUGCAAAAUCAAAAGUAAUUUUGGAAAUUCUGAUCUGCUCCAAUUCAAAAAUUGGAAUUUCCCCCAAAUUGAGAUUUGAAUUUCAAACUGUUUUGUCAAAUUCAUCUUGUUCCACUUAGAAUUGGCUUUGGUCACCAAAAUAAGUUUUGUAGCUUGCAAAAUUCUGAAGAACUUUUGUUUUGGUGGAAUUUUGGCUCCAGUUCAACUUUUGGGCGAAUUUCGCAAAACCACAAAAUUGGUUGGAUAGGGCUCGCUACAGUGAUCCGGAUCACGGGCUCCUCUGUCCCGCCGGCCGCAGAGCGGGCAGCGCCGCGCGCGCGCCUUGCCGCCACGCAGCUGCUUGCCGGCCGUGUCACCGCGCAACGUGGACGCCCGCGACCCCUACGCCUCGCCCCCUUGAGCGUCCGCGCGGCCGACCUCGAGCUCACUCGCUCCGGCGACCAAAAGCAUCAGAGAAGCUCCACCAUCCAUUACCCUCUACACGCAACCCCUCUGACCAAUUCGAGUUCUCCAACACCUUCGCCAUAUCCUUGCGAACCCAGUGUACGCCCAGGAACCCUCCCUGCCCCUCUCAAUCGCCCGGGCGCCGUCUUUCUUCCUCAGCUCCGGCUGAAAGCGCCGCCGUGGGCGCUUCACGUGGCCAGCCCUCCUCCGUGCUUCUCCACCACUUCUGAGCAGCUUGACGAAGUCGUGCUGAGCCCCUGAUGCUCCCCAACUCGUCCCCUCGCCUUCCCGGUGGCCGGAGCGCCACGUUUUCCCCUAGCCCCGUCCGGAGCUCCGCCAGUGCCGCUGUUCACGUGGCCAUGCCUCCACAGACCGCCUCUGGCCAAGUAGAGGGAACCAUAGGGUGUGCGUGAGUCCAGGUGAACUCCCCCGCUGCUCCACUGCUGCGGACGAGCACCCCAACGCCGAAACUGCGAUCUCCGACGAGCUCCCCUGUUUUCAGUUCGCGACCAGGGACCACGCGCAACAAUUGGAAGUUCUCCAGGGGUCUAAUUGCACAGACUGUGACUCAGGUGAAUAGUGCUAUAAGGACUUGUUUGUAGAUGUUUUGUUAGAAUCUUUGGAAAUUCAUAUCUGGAGCUUGGUAACUCCAAUUUUGGUGAACCAAAUUUCGUUGUGCUCCUUGAAAUGUCUAGUUUUUUUAAAAAUAUGGAACUGACUAUGUUUUAUAGUAAAAUAAUUAGUUAUGAAUUAUGUCUUUUAAUUAUGCUUAAAAGGAAGAAAUUCAUAUCUAUUGCUGUAUAGCUUCUUUUAAGAUGAAACUUUUAUGGUAGACUAAUGAUUAUGUGUGUGUGCUGUGGUUAAGUUUUUAGAUUCAUUGGAUGACAUAUGAUUAAGUUAUUGAUUUAUCUUGUGUAGUGCUUAUUAAAUAGUUUACAAUUAAACUAAAAAUGAAUAAAUGUAAAAUAUGGUUCCUCUACCUUUAUAUGAGGUUGUUAUAUCAUAUAGAUACAUAAUUUAGCUAUGUGUGUGUAGAAAAUGUCGAGUUUCUUAUUUAUCUUGUUGUUACAUGCUUCCUUGUGAUGGAAAUUUAUCUUUUUCAUGGAAAUUGCUAUACUUAUUCAAAUGGCAUGAAAUUUAUACAGUAGACUUUUGAGAGCAUAUAUGAGCUGCUGUAGUUUUCUCAGAAUUUACCGUGUACUUUUGAUAUAUGGUUAUUACUUUGUCUAUUUACCUAAAUAAAUUAAUAAAGACAUGAAAGGAAUUUAUUUAGGGAUGGCCAUGAUGUUUUCUAGUAUUUCUUUGAUGUAUUUCAACUGUUGGUAAGCUAGGUUUUUCCUAGGUCCAAGUUUGGAACAUAAAUGAAAUGUUAUUUGUCUAUAAUUAAAUUAUUAGUGAUUUCUGGACAGUUUCUGGAACCUUAUGAAUUGCUCUAGGUAGAUAAUGUUGGAUGUGAAACUUGUCUAUAACAAAGUUGUAUAGAAUUCAUGUAUCUAGCUGGUGUUAAAUUUUGGUGGCAUUUGGCUCUAUAGUUUCUGAGUUAUGCCUGUUUAAAUUUAAGUUUCAGAAAUGGUUGUUCUCUGUCAAAUCUUGGAUCAGUUUCUGUAGUAGUGUAAUUUCAACCUGCUAAACUUAUGAAUCAUGCUUUCAUAAUAAAAGAUGAAUUGUAGUAAUUUUCAUAAGCUUUCCAAAAUGUUAUGGAUCAUGAAUUUUGGUGAUCUAUAACUCUGGUUAUAGAUGUAUGAAGCUUAAUGUCUGGUUCUGUCCAAGGUCUGGACAGGAAUGUUUCUUCAUGCUAUUUGGCCAUCUUAUCUAUUAAAUCAGUUCUCGAAGAUAAUAACAAAGUUGUAGAAAAUUAUCUAAGCUUCCCAGAAAGUCUAAUAUCACCUUUAUUGGAUGCUUGGAUCUCUAAUUAUGGUUGAAUGAAGUUGCAUAUAUGCUGCUGUCCUGGUUAUGUGUGCAAAUAGAGUUGAUUGUUUUUAGCUAGCCUUUACUUAAAUAAUGAUUAGCUUAAUUUCCAAAUUAGAAUUUGAGUGCUUUUGGGAUUGUGUGAUGACCUGAGGUCAUUAAGGUUAAUGACCUUUGGCAUUUAAUUAUUGUUUGAUGUUAUACUUAAUUACUGCCAUUAAUAUUUAAUUAAGAAUUGAUUAAGAUAAAUAGAAAACCUAAUCAUUUUAGGUUUUGAUUGAUCUUUGGGAUUGAUUGACAACCAGUGGUUACUUGGCAUGAUAUGCUCCCUGGUUAUGGAUUAUUUCAUAAAUGAUCUUUGUUGUCUGAUAGCUACACAACCUUGUUUAAUAAAGAUGAUAAAAUUUGCUUAGUAGUAAUCUAUGUUUUGAUAGCUAAGUUAGUUUGUUUCUAUACCGUGAAGGUAAGUUGUACUCGAGGUAGUUAUGUUUGUUGUUAUCAUCCAAGAACAUGUAACCUGUCUUUAUCAUGUCAUGAGCAUCUCAUUGAUCAUGCAUAUGCACUUCUACGUGUAGACUACGCUCCAGAGGAAUCUGAUCCUCAGUGGGUUGCUUCUGAGUUUGUGGAUCCAUCUGGUUUUGCUGAGUUGUCGGACUUCCCUUCCGGCCAAGGCAAGCCCCGGACAUUAAACCCUAUCCUUGUAUUUUCAUAAAGUUAUUUAUAUCACUUGAGUUAAUAUGAUGCAUUAGGUGAAUAAGAGUUGAGUGAAUCCUACUUGCUGCAUUAUCUACCUUGAUGAUUUCAAUAUUAACCUUGAUACUUGUUUUAUGAAAAUACUUAGUAUGCUUAGCCCUGCUUAUUAGAUAAGUUUUCAAAUAAGAAAGUUUGAAGGGUUGUUGUGGAAUACUUUUAAGGUCAAUAAUGUUCAACUUGAGACCGGUCGGUGGACUUGCUUUAAGAAUGGAGUCUUAAAGUAGUGUCUCCAACUGUGUCGAUUAAGGACCGUACCGUUGUUGGCCUGUUGUGAUUGAGACCUUUGAGUACAGCCCACAUGCGGUGGUAAGCCUUACAUAUAGCUAUUCCGAUACUUGAGAACGGCUAACCGCGUACUGGGAGUGGAGAGAUGGCGAGAGUAGCGUGUACCCACCUUACGGAUCUGAGAUGACCGGGAAACAUCUAGAUUGGCUGUAGGAUGGUGGUGUACUGUACUCUCGGGUGACGCUGGACCCGUUCUUGUAUGGGAGGAUCUAUAGAAAAGGUUGACGUAUGCAAGAUUAAGUUCUACAUAUGUCGUGUGGUACUGAAUCCCCAGCUGGGUUUAAUCGAUUCGAAUCGCCGUGUUUCCUCGGAUAUGGAGCCUCAAUCCUCACACCAUCAUCGUAGUAAUAAAUGGAUCUUUGGUAAGAGAAAGAGGUGGUAUGUUUAUGAAAGUUUGAUAAUAGUUUUGGUUAGUCAUAAAUGAUGAUCUUGAGUUAAAACUUGAAAGUAGGUUUUACUCUUAGUAAGCUUUUAUGCAAAAGAAAUGCUUGAUCUUGAUAAAGCUUUACCUUGAAUCCCUAUAGCCUGCAUACCUGAGUCUUCACCUCUUUUCUAGUCGGUUAAGUCUUGUUGAGUACUUUUGUACUCAGGGUUUUAUAACCCCUGUUGCAGGUGCUGACUUAGACUGCUAAUGGAGGUCAUGUCGGUGGGCGCGACAUGAUUUAUCCACCUCUUCUACCUUAGAAGCUUCACCUAGGAUGCUUCCGCUACUAUACACACCUUUUGGAAAUUUAGUUAUUUAUAUUCC
rnacentral:lncRNA from 1 species